AGAUAAGCGCUAAAAUUAUUCAUGUGAACUUUUGAUACCUUUUCUGAAAUUCUCCAGUCAUUAAAUCUUUUACAAAAUUCAUUGAUUACAAAAAAAAAGAAGAUGUGGUAUGAUUGCCAUGUUAAGACAACUCUCCACAAGAGACCCGACACAGAAAUUAACAACUAUAGGUCAACGUACGGCCUUCAACAACUAGCAAAUCCUAUACCGCGUACACAGCUUUAAAAGGCCCCGAAAUGACGAUGUAAAACAAUUCAAACGAGAAAACUAGCGGCCUUAUUUAUGUACAAAAAAAUGAACGAAAAACAAAUAUGUAACACAUAAACAAACGAUAACCACUGAAUUACAGGCUCCUUACUUAAAUGUUCAUAACAUACUAAAGGUAUGUUCAUAUUAAAAUUGACAGAAAACUAAAAAUUGGGAACUUUGGAAAUAAAGGAGGAGGGAUAAAAAAAAAACAUUUUCCUGUCCCCAAUAACCUAUGACUUAUGAUACUUUUGCUGAAAUUCUCCAGUCAUUCAAUAUUUUACAAAAUUCUUCCAACAACACUUUACAUACUUUAAACUACACUCUGAAUGCCCGCGAUUUCGCGGGCGUGUUCUAGUCUUAAUUAU
rnacentral:lncRNA from 1 species